GCUUUGAUGGCCUAGUGGUUAAGGCGUUGGACUCGAAAUCCAUUGGCGUUUCGCCGCGCAGGUUCAAACCCUGCUCACAGCG